AUUGAACGCUGGCGGAAUGCUUUACACAUGCAAGUCGAACGGCAGCACGGGGGCAACCCUGGUGGCGAGUGGCGAACGGGUGAGUAAUACAUCGGAACGUGCCCAGUCGUGGGGGAUAACGUAGCGAAAGCUACGCUAAUACCGCAUACGAUCUACGGAUGAAAGCGGGGGAUCGCAAGACCUCGCGCGAUUGGAGCGGCCGAUGGCAGAUUAGGUAGUUGGUGGGGUAAAGGCUCACCAAGCCGACGAUCUGUAGCUGGUCUGAGAGGACGACCAGCCACACUGGGACUGAGACACGGCCCAGACUCCUACGGGAGGCAGCAGUGGGGAAUUUUGGACAAUGGGCGCAAGCCUGAUCCAGCCAUUCCGCGUGAGUGAAGAAGGCCUCGG
rnacentral:rRNA from 1 species